CUAACACAUGCAAGUCGAACGGUUAAACCGCCUUCGGGCGGACAUACAGUGGCGAACGGGUGAGUAACACGUGACCAACCUGCCCCGCGCUCCGGGACAACCUCGGGAAACCGAGGCUAAUACCGGAUGCGCCGCCCGCCCCGCAUGGGGCGGGCGGGAAAGCCGAGACGGCGCGGGAUGGGGUCGCGGCCCAUCAGGUAGACGGCGGGAUGAGAGCCCACCGUGCCUGCGACGGGUAGCCGGCCUGAGAGGGCGAUCGGCCACAUUGGGACUGAGAUACGGCCCAGACUCCUACGGGAGGCAGCAGUGGGGAAUUUUGCGCAAUGGGGGAAACCCUGACGCAGCAACGCCGCGUGCGGGACGAAGGCCUUCGGGUUGUAAACCGCUUUCAGCAGGGAAGACAUCGACGGUACCUGCAGAAGAAGCCCCGGCUAACUACGUGCCAGCAGCCGCGGUAACACGUAGGGGGCGAGCGUUAUCCGGAUUCAUUGGGCGUAAAGCGCGCGU
rnacentral:rRNA from 1 species